CAAGUCCACCAAGUUGUGUAAUUGCAGAGUUGGAAGCACUGGCUGACCCCGACACAUUAUUUCCACCUGUGCAAAAUAAAAGCAUCAGCUAGUUUUCAUCACGCAUGCAGAAAGAACACAAGUUCCAAUGUACUCCCUAAAAUCUUAACUCCAGCAAGAAGCAAGACAACACAGCUCAAAUGCCAUGUCCUGCCAAACUUUUUGUGUGCCUGAAAUUUACAACCUAAUUAUUUGUAUUGCAUUGCAGAAAUAAACAGCACAUUCCAAGACCCAAUAAAAGCAACAUCUUUAAUUACUAUAUGCUAUUUACGUUUUCUUAAUUUCACAAAACCAUGUUAAAGAAUCAACAUAGAUAAUAUGUAUAACAAGAAACAUUUUCUAAGACAUAAAAUAAAUCCAAUCAAUAUCAUCUUUCUGGGAAGGCAAGAGAGAACUAACCUCAGCCUCGUUAGCAAGAUCAAGUUUUUUCACAAGAUACUUCUGAAUGAACGAG
rnacentral:misc_RNA from 1 species